rnacentral:rRNA from 1 species
CAGUAGCCACGGGAAUACGUAGGGUGAAAGCGUUAAUCGGAAUUACUGGGCGUAAAGCGUGCGCAGGCGGUUAUAUAAGACAGAUGUGAAAUCCCCGGGCUCAACCUGGGAACUGCAUUUGUGACUGUAUAGCUAGAGUACGGCAGAGGGGGAUGGAAUUCCGCGUGUAGCAGUGAAAUGCGUAGAUAUGCGGAGGAACACCGAUGGCGAAGGCAAUCCCCUGGGCCUGUACUGACGCUCAUGCACGAAAGCGUGGGGAGCAAACAGGAUUAGAUACCCGCGUAGUCCCUGUCUCUUAUAC